GGUCCUAAGGUGUUACAACAUAUCUGAUUGCAAACCAGAAGUAGCUUGGAAAAGCUAGGACUU
rnacentral:tRNA from 1 species